GUACUUUGCAUGCCUGGUUCAUCUCACUUCUCCUAAAGAUGCCUCCAUUAUUAUGGAGAAGCACAAAGCGUUACACAGACGGCCACCUGGGGGUGGUGGGGCCUUUGAAAGCAUCUUGGGCCUGGAAGAUCUCAGGCAGCCAGCAUAAUUGCCACGAAACAGUCUGCACAUUAUUCUCACUUCCUCACAUCCAUGCUGCAGCUCACUUUUUGAUGUCAAUUGGAGCUUUCUUCAAUGUCAGCCUCAUUCAGUAUUCUAUAAUAGUCCACCCUUAAGGUUGCAAAACUAUUAAUAUGUACGAUCACUUUACUUGGACAAAACUGAUGUUUUAAAUUACGUUUUUGUGGAUCUUGACCUAAUUUUAUCCUUAUAUGCUACACUCUGCCUUCCGUUUUAAAAAAUGAAAAUCCAGAUUAAAUAUGUGCAAAUAAUUAAAAUUAUUAUUAGUUAAAGUA